UGGUGGAGUGAUCUGUCUGGUUAAUUCCGAUAACGAACGAGACCUUAACCUGCUAAAUAGUCCUGCGAACUUUCAUGUUCGUUGCUUGACUUCUUAGAGGGACUAUUGGUGUCUAACCAAUGGAAGUUUGAGGCAAUAACA
rnacentral:rRNA from 1 species